CUUGGCGACCAUAGCAUUUUGGACCCACCUGACUCCAUGCCGAACUCAGAAGUGAAACAAAAUUGCGCCGAUGGUAGUGUGGGGCUUCCCCAUGUGAGAGUAGGACAUCGCCAGGC
rnacentral:rRNA from 1 species